CCGAGUCCCAGCGCCUUCCGCAGGGCCGAGGGGUCGUCGCCAGCUCACCGGCAGCAGAGCCGGGCGGACCGCGCCCAGGGCUGACUCACAACGCGCUCCCUGCUGACCUCGCUCCGGCUGAGCUACAAGACCUGGAGCAACUCAGCUGCUUCCGAAAACGGAGGUUAGAGUGCCACCCCCGCGGGGGUCGUCGGCUAAACCAUCACUUCUGUGAAGUGAAGAGAGUUCUAAAUAAAUUUCUACUAAAUACCAUCUGAGCCUAUUCCUGCACAAAAGAGAGACUGAAGAAAAGAAAUUUGGGCCAAAUUCCAUAUUCCUGUCCUCUUUCAUGGCAGAAAAUUGGUCAAAGGCACCACAGUAGCAUGAAACUGAAAAGGAGUAGCAUCACCUACUGAAUGUUUAAGGUCCCUGCCCAUGCCUAUGCUGUUCUUCUCCCCAGAAUGCCUAGCCACCUAACAAGUAGCUCUAUCACCCUUUCUUUACCCACCCUCCAGUUUGAGCCCUUUUCCCAGUUACCCUAUCCAUGCUUCAGGAGGCACCGAAAGUCUAUAUAGUAAGUACACCAAAGUGAUACACAGCAGCAUAAAGCCCUAGUGAACUGAGAGAACUCACUGGGAAAAAAAUCAACCAAUCUGGGAACCUCUAGAUCACCGGUCCUCAGCUGCACCCAGCUUGUGGCCCCAACAUGGACUGAUUUACUCUCAGACAGUAUUAACUGGCAUAAGUAGUUAGUUAUCCAAACUUGAGUGCCAACUUUAAGAGGGCCAUUCAGCUUUGAUAUGAUUCCAUAACAACUACCUUUAUCAGGCGCCUACAACAAUCUGCCCACCUGCUUCAUGCUUACCAUCCCUACCCCACAAAUGAGGAAACUGAGACUCAAAGAAGUUAGGCCACUUGGAGUUAAACCACUUCCCUGAGGUCGCAGAGCCAGCAAGUGUCAGAAUCUGGAUACAAACCCAAGUCUUUCUGGCUCUAAAGUUUCUACUGCACAGAGGGUACUUUUACAAAGUAAUAAAGACAAAUAAUAGUAAACCAUUCUUCAAGAACA